CCCGGCCCGGCCCCCCGCCGCCCCGCACCUGGCUUCACGUCGCAGCCUGGCUGCUUCCCUUUACACAGAAAAAGUGUACCAGAUAUAUCACUUAUGACUGGACGGCCAAGUGGUUUGCAGCAGCAAAAGCUCCAGAUGCACAGAGGGAUGAUAUCCCCAAGCUGACUUCUGUGAGGCUUGGUGGUCCGCCAGGUUGCAGGGCUCCUGCCUGGCCCAUGGAAACCUGAAAGCCUCACCGGACAAGAUCUACAUGGAACUCCUGGUAGUCUCAAGACUCUCUGCCUGGACCUUCAGCUAAUGUAGGCUCUCUGGUCAACUACUUAGGUUGACCAAGUUUUCCUGUGGUGUCCAGUACCUCUACCAUGAAGGGUGAUGGAAUAAACAGAGAUAAACCUUCAGGAGCUGUCCCUCCAGGACGUACUCAGCAGGAGAGUGUCCUGAGAAGAGAGUAGAGAAGAAACAGAUGUUUAAAGCAGUCAUCUAUCUGGAGUGACCGAGUUGCACCAGGCAGCUGACUGAGCCCUCAGGCUAAAAAAACACCUGCAUAUUGCUGUCAUUUUUUGUAAAUGUUGCUUUCCAAAGAUUGAUCAGCUAAAUAAAGAAGUAAUUAUGAAUCAGAUGAAAAACACGGGAAUAGUGUUGAGUUUUUCCAUUGAAACCAUUGUGAUUUUUUUUGGCAAUUAAUAGCUGAGAAAGGAAGAAAAAGGAAAUAAAGAGAACAAAAUCCCGCUGUAAUAUAUCUAGCUCAUUACCAGCCAGCACUUGAAGCACCCUAAUUUUGCCCAAUACCUUGCACUCUUCAUUGGUUUUCAAAAGCAUUGUCAAAUUUCAAUUCCAAGCUGCUUUCAGAUUUGCUGAGUUUCCUGUUUAAAAAUCCUUUUUGAAUGUCCGUGGACCCUCUGUUUUUAUUCUUUGAUUGACUUUCAAGCAGUGUAUUCUGCACACUGUAAAAGCAUUGCUAAUCAAAGUACACAUGAGCCAAUUAAUAGUGUGUGCUUAGGGAUGGACAAGUUUCUUCUGAAAGAGUGAUCAUCUGGAGUUAUAGAGUGAAUAGGCUUCAAGCUUUUAUCUCCUCUUUCCCUGAACAAUUUUGUCAUGCAAAACAGCUUGCAGUGAUAUCUGUGAUGACUAUUUUGCCUGUAACUAUGUCUUAGAAGACUGAACAACUAGAUAAACAGGAGAGAGCCAUGUCAAUGAAGCACGUACCUCUCUCUGCUCUGUCCCUCCACAAAGAAUUGACAUCCAAUAUUAUGAGAUAGCCAACCAACCCUAGAUGUAUGUGUGAUCCCUUUAUGGCUAGCAGUUUACAUCUAGCUGGUAUGGGGAAAAAAAUGUAAGCUCAUAGCUGUCCAAAGGGAGGAGACACAGAAAGCCCCUGCUGAACAAUGACAGUAAUAAAACAAUAGCCCCACAGAGAUGCUAGGUUUUCUUACAAAUAAUAAAAAAAAGAAACAGCAUAGUUCAGAGUGUAUGCAUUAUUGUUGCUCAGCCACCAGCAAGGAAAUGUUGAGCUACCUUGGUAUACGGGUACUGAGCAUCAGAGAAAUAAAAAGAAAAGAACACAGCCAUUCUGUGUUAGAAGAUCAGUGCCAUAGAUCACAGACAACUCGUAUCUUCUCAGAAGCAAUAGCACCAAAGUCUGCAGCAUAGCUACAAACAAAAGAGGAAUCCCAUUUUCUAAGCAAGCUUGAGAACGAUAUGAUUAUCAAAACAAUUUUAAGAAGUUAUCUAAAUACUUUUUUAUGUGUAAGUUGAUUUAAAAAAUAACAUUUUGGGGGAUGUUAGUACACUUUUUACUAUUUACUCUUUUUUAACCUAUAUUUCUUUUCAGCACAGCAUGGUUAAAAUAGUACAAAAACAGGAAAUACAGAUCUUCUUCAGUUGCUGAGAGAAAAUGAGAUCCUUUUCACAACGUACUUCUUGGUGGCAUUAUAGCUGAGUGCAGAAUACACAUACCACAGUUUGAAAAGUGAUAGACGGAGCUAAUAUGCUUUGUUGGGACAUACAGUUAGCUGCUGCAAGCACAGUUCUUCACUGCUUCUAUUUCACUGUUUCCAUACCCCACUGUAGUUUCUCUGCCCAACAGCAUGCUCCAUCAUAUCACUGCCCUAAGUUGCUCAGCACUGGCUCAUGGAGCUGCAC
rnacentral:lncRNA from 1 species